rnacentral:lncRNA from 1 species
CUGAAUACAUUAAAGAGGAUGGGAGUUUAAGACCUCUAGGCGCAGGUACGAUGGGAUUGGUAUCAGCACCUGAAUAUUAUAGAAUAGAAACUACCAUUCUGUCUCUAAAGGAUUUCAAUUUAUUUCAGUUCUUCAUGCCUUUAUCAUCAAAACCACAAGGACAUUAAAAGAGAAAUGCUUCAGGACACAGAGUAAAGGACAGAGAGCCAAUGAAUUAUAACAAUUUAUAGGAGGUAAAAGUUAUCGCUGAGCCAUCAUCACUUGCCCUUGUGUAGCCCACGGGACAAAAACAUUUUCAGGCCAUUGUUUUCCAACCCCAAAUCGUGCAUUUCUUUCACAGAGAUAAAAACUUCUCCACCUUUCAAGCUCUACCAGGCACAAGUUAGCAUAUGAUAAACACCAAAACAAAGAGUGUAGCAAUACAAAGAAAUUUACCUUGUAUCUGUGUAUGGCACUGAAACGGAGGGACUCCCUGCCCAGGAAAUAAGAACUCCUGCCGUAGUUGAUGAAUGAGCUCUAUUCUUUCCGCAGCCUGGGGGAAGCCAGCCUGUGAACCCGGAAGCUUCGACUUGCCAGUGCCCAGAUCAACCGAGCGCAAUCCAUUGCUUCAGAAACGUAAGAACAGAAGAGUCCAUUGGCUGCUGGUUUUCAGCUGAAUAAAUACAACCAAUCAAAUGCAUUUUAAGAACUGGCCAGUAGACUUCUCAUUUACAAUGUUUCUUCUCUUUCUUGGAAAACCUGUGCCACUUAUCAAGAUGUGUGUCCAUGAAACAAGAAUUUUAACCCUGCCGAGGAUUUUAGAUAAGUGUUUGUGGGGCCAUGUUGAAGAAAGGAGGAUGGCAGAAAUUGAAGGAGGCCAAAGAAAGACGGCAAAGACAAGAAGUAGCGCUGAAAGGAACUCCUUCUCGCCUAACGUUUUCUCCUCCUACCAAGUCUGGUGGUGAGGAAGACCAGGCGAAUACCAGCCCAAGUGAACCUGCUGCACCUGCGCCUGAUGAAAAGGAGCAGCCGUCUGUGACUUCUCUAGUUGCACCCCUCUGAAGACUUUCCCAGUGAUAAUAAUAUAAAAAUAUCCUUCUCCAAUGAUCAAGGUGAAUGGGACAUGACUUCUGAAGAUCUUAUUGCAUAUUGGACUGAGACGGGCCAACAGAAAUGCCAGAAUCUGGAUGCUGACUUUUCAUUGACAAAGUGAGAGUACACCAAUCAGAAUCGUUAUCUGACCAAAUCAAUGUUUGAAUGUGUGAAGCCUAACAAAGAUUGUCAAGCGAGAAUGGCUCAUCUAUUCGCCUUCUAAGAAGAUAGUGAACUGUUUUUAUUGCCGCCUGUUUUCUGAUACCAAAAAAUGGGGAAUGUUCUGUGAAGGCUUCAUUGAUUGGAAGAAUACUGCAUACAUUACCAAUCAUGCAAUGAGUGAGCAGUAUGCAUUGUCAGUUAGCAGCUACCAUGCCCAAAAGAAAGUUAGUGGCAGAAUUGAUACCCAAAUGGAAAACCAGUUUUUUUCAUUCUCAGACGCGCAGUUGAAAUCAUAGUUUUUCUUGCUGAGUGUAGUCUGCCAUUCCAUGGCUCAAGUGAGACCGUUGGAUCAAAACAUAAUGGCAAUUAUCUUGGCGUUCUAGAGCUAAUCGCUAUGUUCGACCCUUUCUUAGCUCAGCACAUCAAUGAACACGCAAAUCAUGGAAAAGGCCAUUGUAAGCAGGCGCGGACUCACCCCUGCUGCGCCUCCUGCUGGUUGUCCUGGGAAUUAGCUCACCAGCCUCCUGAGCGCCCUCUGCAGGCCAGUUGUCCCGCCUGUCUUUGGCCCCCAUGUCUCUCCCGGAUCCCGGUGCCCUUGGCUUAGGUUCUGCCCCCCUGGCAGUACCCCACUCUCUCUCUGGGUCUCCCCACCCAGGGGACCCUCCACCUCCUAUCCCAAUGUCGCCUCAGUUAUGGCUACUGUCAGUCACC